GUAAUGCUUAUUUGCUAUAGUAAUGGUAAGUUUACUUUUGAACAAGAGUCAAAACUUGUCAUACUCUUGGUAGAACUGUGUUUAACUUGUUUUUCUGUGAAGCCUUGAUUAUCAACAUUAGCAUUUUAAAGAUUUUGAAAGGUAAAGAAGAAAAAAAGAAGAAAGGAAGGGAAGUAAAUAUAAUUAAAAACUGUUUGAAUUGAUUCAAGUUGAUUCAAUUUGUUGGAAUAAUGAUUGUUACUUAAAACGUUUAGCAUUUUUAAAUGCAGUAUUUACUUAACUUUCAAUGGUUGGUAAACUUUUAACGGUUGGUAAACAUUCAAUGGUUGGUAAACUUUCAAUGAUUCAAAAGAUUGACUUUUGUAGUACCACAUCUGUGAACAGAAGUUUUUAAUGAACAUGACCUUUCAAAGGUCAUGUGGUAAGGUCUAUGCAAACAUACCCAAAAAGAACCAGACUGGACUACAAAUCUAAACCUUUUUAAAGAUGCAAAGGUGCAAAGGCUGGGAUCUGGAAAGCCAAAAACCAAAAGAUUGUGACGGCAUAUGACAUCAGUCCAAUCCGGAAAAAAUAUUUUGUGAUGCCAUAUAGAGUCACCAUAUGAAGUUUCUACAGGCCUGGUGAAAAAACUUUGGCGCAACAUAAACGCAAGCAAUAAUGAAUAAAAAUUUAGAACAGAGUAGUAUAUUCCGAUACAAAAUAGAUAGUUAUCGUGAUUGCAAUUUUUGUUAAUAAACAAUGAUGUAACCAUUUUCACACACUGUUUGAUUGAUUGCAACUUAUGCAGAAAAAAUAAAUUGGCGAGAGAUUCCAUAAGGGGUAUGAUAACCCACACUAAAUCAUUUUUUUUUAAUUCGCUUUUGCGCUUAUAUUUUAUAUUUUUGGCACAUUUUUUCAAAUACCUGAGCAAAAUACAAUAUUAGAAUUGUUAUUUAUUUGUAUAAUUGUAAAAUGCAGCUCAUCAUGGAUGUCAUUAUGGUUUCUGCGACAAAUAUUUUCGCGUUUAAGUUGUACCUGAUCUAACUUAUUAUUGGUACGGUCAGAAAUUCGUAGUUUUUUGUAAAUAAAAAAGAUUUGUUUUGUU